GACGAACGCUGGCGGCGUGCUUAACACAUGCAAGUGGAGCGACGAACCAGACUUCGGUCUGGGGCAAAGCCGCGAACGGGUGAGUAUCACGUGGGUAACGUACCCCGAUGACCGGGACAACCCGAGGAAACUCGAGCUAAUACCGGAUGUGCUGUGCGGCCUCAAGGCCGCUCAGUAAAGGAAGCUUCGGCCUCCGCAUUGGGAGCGGCCCGCGGCCCAUUAGCUUGUUGGUGAGGUAACGGCUCACCAAGGCAACGAUGGGUAGCUGGUCUGAGAGGACGAUCAGCCACACUGGGACUGAGACACGGCCCAGACUCCUACGGGAGGCAGCAGUGGGGAGUCUUGCGCAAUGCGCGAAAGCGUGACGCAGCAACGCCGCGUGAGGGAAGACGGCCUGGUU
rnacentral:rRNA from 1 species